UACGUAGGGGGCAAGCGUUGUCCGGAUUUAUUGGGCGUAAAGCGCUCGCAAGUGGUUCGUUGCGUCGUGCGUGAAAGACCCCGGCUCAACUGGGGAGGGUCGUGCGAUACGGGCGAACUGGAGGCCAGUAGGGGGAUGCGGAAUUCCGGGUGUAGUGGUGGAAUGCGUAGAGAUCCGGAGGAACACCAGCGGCGAAGGCGGCAUCCUGGACUGGUCCUGACACUCAUGAGCGAAAGCGUGGGGAGCGAUCCGG
rnacentral:rRNA from 1 species